CUUAAAUAAAUUGACGGGGGCGCGCACAAGCGGUGGAUGAUGUGGAUUAAUUCGAUGCAACGCGAAAAACCUUACCUACCCUUGACAUGUCUGGAAUGCCGAAGAGAUUUGGCAGUGCUCGCAAGAGAACCGGAACACAGGUGCUGCAUGGCUGUCGUCAGCUCGUGUCGUGAGAUGUUGGGUUAAGUCCCGCAACGAGCGCAACCCUUGUCAUUAGUUGCUACGAAAGGGCACUCCAAUGAGACUGCCGGUGACAAACCGGAGGAAGGUGGGGAUGACGUCAAGUCCUCAUGGCCCUUAUGGGUAGGGCUUCGCACGUCAUACAAUGGUCGGGACAGAGGGUCGCCAACCCGCGAGGGGGAGCUAAUCCCAGAAACCCGAUCGUAGUCCGGAUCGCAGUCUGCAACUCGACUGCGUGAAGUCGGAAUCGCUAGUAAUCGCGGAUCAGCAUGUCGCGGUGAAUACGUUCCCGGGCCUUGUACACACCGCCCG
rnacentral:rRNA from 1 species